CAAGCUGUGAUGGGGAGGGAAAUAAUAGUACCGAAGUUCCUGAUGUCACACUGCCGAGAAAAGCUUCUAGUGAGAAAACAGCGGCCCGUACCGCAAACCGACACAGGUAGUCGAGGAGAGAAUCCUAAGGUGAGCGAGAGAACUCUCGUUAAGGAACUCGGCAAAAUGACCCCGUAACUUCGGGAGAAGGGGUGCUGAUCAUACGAUCAGCCGCAGUGAAUAGGCCCAAGCGACUGUUUAUCAAAAACACAGGUCUCUGCAAAAUCGUAAGAUGAAGUAUAGGGGCUGACGCCUGCCCGGUGCUGGAAGGUUAAGAGGAGUGCUUAGCGCAAGCGAAGGUACGAAUUGAAGCCCCAGUAAACGGCGGCCGUAACUAUAACGGUCCUAAGGUAGCGAAAUUCCUUGUCGGGUAAGUUCCGACCCGCACGAAAGGCGUAACGAUUUGGGCACUGUCUCAACGAGAGACUCGGUGAAAUUUUAGUACCUGUGAAGAUGCAGGUUACCCGCGACAGGACGGAAAGACCCCAUGGAGCUUUACUGUAGUUUGAUAUUGAGUGUCUGUACCGCAUGUACAGGAUAGGUAGGAGCCGUAGAAAUCGGAACGCUAGUUUCGAUGGAGGCGCUGGUGGGAUACUACCCCUGCGUUAUGGCCACUCUAACCCGCACCACUAAUCGUGGUGGGAGACAGUGUCAGAUGGGCAG
rnacentral:rRNA from 1 species